CCGCAGACAGCAUGUGCUCAGCUGUCCUCGGAGAACCCUACCUGCCCAGCUGGGGUCCCCACUCCCAGAGCCCUCCCUCCAGCAGGGCCUGCCAGCUGCCUGAAGACGGGCCUUUGGAGACAGGCCCAGGGGUGCUGGGGGCCCGUGCAGGGGCUCCAGUUACAGGAUGACUCGCUCUUUCCCUGGUUGAGCUGCAGCGGCAGGUGGAGGCUCUGCAAAAGCAGGGCUCGGUGCCAGAACCCAGCCAGCCCGUAGCUGGAGGUCACCAGGAUGCGGCCCCCAGUCUCGGCUCACCUCAGCUCUGCCCUGCUUGGGAGGGACCUCCAGGAAGCCUCCACCUGAUUUCCAGGCUCCAAGCGAGCAUGUCUCCAACUGCCCUCCUUUCUUUGAUGCCCCUGUGCCAACCGUGACAUUCACACAGGGACCACUGUCCCCAGAGCCCAUAAAGCCCCGAGUCCAGGGCUGUCACUUGGCAGCAAGUGCUGAAGGAACAAAUGAAUCCGAAGCCCGAGCAUGUGGGGGCGUUUAAUGGGUCUCCUGGACUUUCUGUGGUCCAGGGCUCCUACUGACUGUCUCUUGGGGCUCCCGUUGGGGGCUUCUGCCUGGUCAUCUGGUCGACCCCACCCCAGUAUACUAGGCUAUUUCUAGGGACUGUGUAACAUAGUGAUUUCGGUGGUGGAUGAAGAGGGCAGUUAAUAUAUAAACACAAGAGUGCUCCUCUUUUACAAAGUAUUAAGACUAUGGUGAUGCACAGGAAAAUUACAACUAAUGUAACUUAAGGAUGAUAGUUAACAGUAAUAUUGUAAUCCUGGCAGCAAAGACAAGAAAAUAUUUUUUCAAUUCUAAGGGACAAAAAUAGGGGGUGAAAGGGGUAUGGGAUUUUUUCUUUUGGAGCAAUGAAAACAUUCUAAAAUUGAGGUGAUGACAGCAUAACUCUGUGAUGAAAAUGGGAGCCACUGAGUAUGUACUUUGAAUGGAUGGCACAAAGCGUGGGCUGUAUAAUGCAGGGAGUCCAAUGGAGGAUGAUGGACUGGGAUAGCAGGACAAAUAUGAGAAUGUUUUCCUUUGAAAGAUAACAAGUACAAAGUACAAAUACAGUGUGUUCAUGACUGGGUGGGUUGGGGGAAAAUACACCAAAUGUUAAGAUAUGGGCUAUAGUUAGUGGUAAUAUUUUGAUGCUGCUCUUUCACAGCAGGUCUUGUUUCACACAAGGCAAGGUGGUGAUGUACGGGAGCCCUAUAUGAUAUGCAUGCUUGUUUUGUAAAUUCGCAACUUGUAUCGUAUACUUCUUGUUUUUGUAUGUGUGUGUAUGAAUGAUAGACUUCAAUAAAAAUUUUAUCAAU
rnacentral:lncRNA from 1 species